rnacentral:misc_RNA from 1 species
AAAAACAGAGGGUUCCCCAUGUCAAAGAGCGCAGCUUGCAGAGCCUGGUUCGUGGCGGCCAGCAUCGGCGCCGUCGAAGCACUCAAGGACCAAGGCGUUUGCCGGUGGAAUAACGUCCUUAAGUCUCUGCAACAACACGGCAAGACCAAACUCAGAUCUUACUAUCAAGCUAAGAAGCUCUCUGCUUCCUCUUCCUCCGCCAUUGCUAACCAGAUCAACAAAUCUCGAGAAGAGAAGAUGAGGAAAGUCAUGGAUUUGAGCUGUUUGGGUCCCAGUACUAUCAGAUUCUAGGCUUCUUUUCAUCAACUUUUG